UAGGGAAUCUUCGGCAAUGGGGGCAACCCUGACCGAGCAACGCCGCGUGAGUGAAGAAGGUUUUCGGAUCGUAAAGCUCUGUUGUAAGUCAAGAACGGGUGUGAGAGUGGAAAGUUCACACUGUGACGGUAGCUUACCAGAAAGGGACGGCUAACUACGUGCCAGCAGCCGCGGUAAUACGUAGGUCCCGAGCGUUGUCCGGAUUUAUUGGGCGUAAAGCGAGCGCAGGCGGUUUGAUAAGUCUGAAGUUAAAGGCUGUGGCUCAACCAUAGUUCGCUUUGGAAACUGUCAAACUUGAGUGCAGAAGGGGAGAGUGGAAUUCCAUGUGUAGCGGUGAAAUGCGUAGAUAUAUGGAGGAACACCGGUGGCGAAAGCGGCUCUCUGGUCUGUAACUGACGCUGAGGCUCGAAAGCGUGGGGAGCGAACAGGAUUAGAUACC
rnacentral:rRNA from 1 species